rnacentral:lncRNA from 1 species
GGUGACCACAUCCCCGGCGCAGAAAACAAAGUGUUUGUUCAACAGUUUUCUCUGCUUUCGUCUUUGAGGUACGAAGGCAUUUACGAUUGAGUAAUAUGAAUUGCUCCCACUCCAGCUUUUCUGAAACGUUCGAAUGGACCCUAAUUUACAGACAACAGCAAGAUAAAAGUCAUGGUCUAAUGAUACGGCUGUGCCCUUUAUCCAGCUGGAUGGGGUAAGUCAUCCAGGUCACAUGCUUAUUCGAAAAAGCAAGAUUUUAGAACUUGAUGUUCUUUAGAUUAAUCAAGGACCCCUGUUUGGUGUUUGGCGGUCACACCGAUCCCCCUGCAGUUUUCAGACUCCAGUGCCCAUGUCUCUCCCCUUCUUCGAGCAUUUAUUUAUUCGGUGGUCAUUUUGCAGCACCUCUUCCAGGCUGACCUGUAUUAAGUGUUGGCAAAAACAACAACCUGUUGCCUUGUGUCAUUUACGAGUCCAUUUCACCAGCGCAGACUCAUUUGGCCAUGCAGUGCACGCAGUUUAAGCUUGCCGACUCAUCCCCAUGGUUUCUGCCCUCUCAAGGCGGGCUUGGUGAAUGGAUUCAUAGUUGCACCAGAGAAAGAAUGAGAGAACUUACAAAGCCUCGUAUCUGGGCUGUUUUGUGUUUUUAUCAAGAUUAUCAAGCAUCUUAUCUGUGUUUCUCUUUAACUUUCUUUGCCUGGAAAAGCAAUGCUGACGCCGGCCAGAAGCAAUAUUCCCCCCUCCUCCUUCCCCUCCCCCAGAGGUCCUCAGUGGCCUCGGAGUUUUUGCUGAGACUGUUUUGGCGAAGGAGCCAUCUCUGUGUGGGGCGACACAAUGUCUCGGCCCUUCUCUGCCCCUAUUUUCAAACCAAACAAGCCGAGAAGCCAACAAGCCCCUGAGGAAACCACAGGUCGGCUGAGCUGAUGCGCGCUUAGGGGUGACUGGUAGGCAGAAUCAGGAAAUGAACCGCAUCCAGACGCAGCUAAAAAUACUUCAGCGCUUUCCACGAUUCUAAGCUCGCAGGCUUCUGGAACCUUGGAACACUGGGGAGACUUAAUUAUAACAGAAUUUUUCCAUAUACCAGACUAAUGCAGGAAUAGAGUAUGGGUAAAUGAGAACACCAAAGCUCCUGGAGGUGAGUUUCCUUGAAGCUCUUUUUUUUUCUUUUUUUUUUUAUUACAUAUUUAAUUACAUUUCCAAUGCUAUCCCAGAAGUCCCCCAUACCGCCCCCCCACUUCCCUACCCACCCAUUCCCAUUUUUUUGGCCCUGGCGUUCCCCUGUACUGGGGCAUAUAAAGUUUGCAUGUCCAAUGGGCCUCUCUUUCCAGUGAUGGCCGACUAGGCCAUCCUUUGAUACAUAUGCAGCUAGAGUCAAGAGCUCCGGGGUACUGGUUAGUUCAUAAUGUUGUUCCACCUAUAGGGUUGCAGAUCGCUUUAGCUCCUCGGGUACUUUCUCUAGCUCCUCCAUUGGGAGCCCUGUGAUCCAUCCACUAGCUGACUGUGAGCAUCCACUCACGAGGAAACUCUUUUCCUCGUGAAUGCUUUCAGACUUUUUCAGCCUGUCAAGCAGACUUGACCGGAGGGCGUGGCAGAGAAGGAAGGAAGAGAGUUGCUUUGGUCCUGGCAUUUUAUUGCAGUCACCGAAAAGUAACUGAUAAUCAGUAGCCCAGAGAUUGAGAAGGGAGACUUGUAGGUGAAGACGAGGAAUCGUGAGAGAUAAAGGAAUGGGUGUGGGUUGAAAACCCAGGGCCCCAAAACUCCACGUGAAGUGACACCCACAUAUCCAUAUGUCAUCUUGUAUCUAUGCAAGUGUUAAGUCAGAGAAGAAACAAGGAGACAGCGGCUACCCCUGAAAGAGCUGCUCUCAGCCUGCUGUCCUCUCUCUCUGG